UACGUAGGGUGCGAGCGUUGUCCGGAAUUACUGGGCGUAAAGAGCUCGUAGGUGGUUUGUCGCGUUGUUCGUGAAAUCCCACGGCUUAACUGUGGGCGUGCGGGCGAUACGGGCAGACUGGAGUACUGCAGGGGAGACUGGAAUUCCUGGUGUAGCGGUGGAAUGCGCAGAUAUCAGGAGGAACACCGGUGGCGAAGGCGGGUCUCUGGGCAGUAACUGACGCUGAGGAGCGGAAGCGUGGGGAGCGAACAGG
rnacentral:rRNA from 1 species